CAAAUGGACGACUAGGGUUCCGGUCCGCGGGCAAGAAGCCCAACGAUGCUGGUCCGAGAGUUGUCGACCUCAAAGGCACUGCGCGAGGUUACACGGCGGGAUAAAAGCCCGGGAGAG
rnacentral:sRNA from 2 species